CGCGCGGUGCGUCACGGAUCGUCGCGUAAAUUUUGAAAAUAGAACCCGAUUCGGUUUCGGAUCGGACUGUGAAUAAAACAAAUAGUGCAGUGCAGUGAAAAACUGAUUGUUCAAUCGAUUUGUGCGAGUGAUAUCUGUGACGGUGAUUUUUUGCACGACACUAGUGCACGGAACGGAGGAUUCAUUUCCGUAAUGUCUGGAAAUGCGCAAUAAACAGCUAUGGACUCAAAAACAGAAGCAAUCAAAAUGGCGUAGUAGUUGAACAAAUGGUUAUAAAAUAUAAAACAAUAGAGACUGUAUAAAGAAAUGGGGUUGGAAAGGUGAUAUUUGCAGAAAAUGGCCACCGAUAGAUUGCCACUACACCUCUGCAAUUCAAUAAAACAGUACUGGCUGAUACUAGAAAGUAGUUUAAAGAAUCAAUUAAGUUUUUUUAAGCAGACUCAAGUGAAGUUACGAAAAAGUUUGAAAUUGGACUCGCAGGAGAGAAUCAAAUUAGUUUUACUGUUAGUGCUAUUACUGACUCAGGACUCGAACGGUAAUAACUUUGGGGGUAGUAGGAAUUCUAUGUUAAGGACCAGAGUUAUUGGCACGAGGUACGGGAAAUUGCAAGGCGUUAUAUUGCCGAUGGAUCAGCAUAAAUACUUGAAACCCGUCGAGGCGUAUCUCGGGGUUCCGUACGCUACUCCGCCUACUGGAUCUAACAGAUUUGCCCCAACCCGUGCGCCGGCGCCGUGGGACGACGUCAAAACGGUCGAUCAGAUGGGGCCAGUCUGUCCCCAACGUCUACCAGACAUCUCCAACGAGACCCUGGUUCUGGAGAGGAUGCCCAAAGGACGGUUGGAGUACCUGAGACGGCUGCUGCCUCGACUGAAGAACCAGAGC